rfam:Zootermopsis nevadensis contig24584, whole genome shotgun sequence.
GUGGUCUAGCGGUUAGAACGCUGGCCUUGUAAUCCUGGGGUCUCGGGUUCGAUUCCCGUC